CCCCCCCCCCCCAAACAAAUUUGUACAUGUAUCCUUAACGCUUUAUACAACAGUGAAACACAAAAUAACACAGCAGGAAAAUCAACAGAACAAACCUCCAUGGCCUUGAUCGCUAUAUGUGUAAGAUUAUUGAAACUAAAAAGUCACAUACCAACAGCAAGAGAAUUAAUUACCCACAAAGUUAACAUAAGUCUGGUUAUAUCCCUUAGAAAUGUAUAAUAAUGGUUUUGAGCUACUAGUAGUAAGUGUGGGGUGUUGGGUGGUCUUUUUUUUUAAUUUUAUUUUCAGGUGAAAAAAGCCAAGUAAAAUCUUAAUGCAGACACUGUGCCUCUUGAUAGAAGAUCCUCCUGGUAUCUGCCUCAGUUCCGGCAAGAAGAUCUACAAUCAUCGAAGAAACAAACUGAAGCAACGGAUCAACUCAGCAACAAGAACUACGCAAUAACACUUCCUUGAGCUCUUAGAAAUUGUUCAUGCCUAUAGUGUAGGAAUUAUAUAUAUAUUUGAUUAGCGCAAGCGACUUCAAAUGUAUAUUCUAUCUACUAAACAAGCUCGUUAGCUUUACUUUUAGCCAACCUGUAGUGAAUGGUA